AACGACUCUCGGCAACGGAUAUCUCGGCUCUCGCAUCGAUGAAGAACGUAGCGAAAUACGAUACUUGGUGUGAAUUGCAGAAUCCCGUGAACCAUCGAGUCUUUGAACGCAAGUUGCGCCCGAAGCCUUCCGGCCGAGGGCACGUCUGCCUGGGCGUCACGC
rnacentral:rRNA from 1 species